ACAUCCCUGCUGUGUGCGUUAGGGGCGGUGAAAAUGAACCAACACAUGAACAUGGGGAGCUGAUUCUCUAAAAAGCCUGAGGGCAUUUAGACAGGCUCCCACCUGGUAAAACAGGUUCUCUUCCACCAACUCGACGGCAUAAGCGGGGAUUUG
rnacentral:other from 1 species